rnacentral:rRNA from 1 species
CGAAAGCCUGACGGAGCAAGACCGCGUGAGGGAGGAAGGCUCUUGGGUUGUAAACCUCUUUUCUCAGGGAAGAAGCUCUGACGGUACCUGAGGAAUCAGCCUCGGCUAACUCCGUGCCAGCAGCCGCGGUAAUACGGAGGAGGCAAGCGUUAUCCGGAAUUAUUGGGCGUAAAGCGUCCGCAGGUGGCGCCUCAAGUCUGCUGUCAAAGGUCGGGGCUUAACUCCGGAAAGGCAGGGGAAACUGAAGCGCUAGAGGGGGGGAGGGGUAGAGGGAAUUCCCGGUGUAGCGGUGAAAUGCGGAGAGAUCGGGAAGAACAUCGGUGGCGAAAGCGCUCUACUGGGCCGCAACUGACACUCAGGGACGAAAGCUAGGGGAGCG